rnacentral:rRNA from 1 species
AGAAUCAACGCUGGCGGCGUGCCUCAGACAUGCAAGUCGAACGCGAAAGUCCCCGUUCGGGGGAUGAGUAGAGUGGCGCUCGGGUGAGUAACACGUAGGUAAUCUACCUUUGGGUGGGGAAUAACAGACCGGAAACGGCUGCUAAUACCGCAUAAUGCAGCGGCUCGACAUCGAGACAGUUGUUAAAAGCGGGGGAUUCCGUAAGGAACCUCGCGCCUGAAGAGGAGCCUGCGGCAGAUUAGCUAGUUGGUAAAGGUAAUGGCUUAACCAAGGCUUCGAUCUGUA